UACGAAGGGGGCUAGCGUUGCUCGGAAUCACUGGGCGUAAAGGGUGCGUAGGCGGGUCUUUAAGUCAGAGGUGAAAUCCUGGAGCUCAACUCCAGAACUGCCUUUGAUACUGAGGAUCUUGAGUUCGGGAGAGGUGAGUGGAACUGCGAGUGUAGAGGUGAAAUUCGUAGAUAUUCGCAAGAACACCAGUGGCGAAGGCGGCUCACUGGCCCGAUACUGGCGCUGAGGCACGAAAGCGUGGGGAGCAAACAGG
rnacentral:rRNA from 1 species